rnacentral:rRNA from 1 species
AGUGAACGCUGGCGGCGUGGAUUAGGCAUGCAAGUCGAGCGAUACUUAAAGCGGAGAGAUUGAAGCCGCAAGGUGGAUGUCAAUUUGCUUUUUGUAUAGCGGCAGACGGGUGAGGAACACGUGAGUAAUCUGCCCACAAGUCAGACAUAGCUUCGUGAAAACGGAGGUAAUUUCUGAUAAAAUCAAGAGGACGCAUGUUUUUUUGAUUAAAGACGGGGAUUCGCUUCGGCGGACCUGUCGCUUAUGGAUGAGCUCGCGUCUUAUCAGCUAGUUGGUAGGGUAACGGCCUACCAAGGCUAUUGACGAGUAGCUGGUCUGAGAGGAUGGUUAGCCACACUGGGACUGAGACACUGCCCAGACUCCUACGGGAGGCUGCAGUCGAGAAUCUUUAGCAAUGGACGAAAGUCUGACUAUGCGACGCCGCGUGAGGGAUGAAGGUUUUCGGAUCGUAAACCUCUUUUAGCAGGAAAGAAACCUUUGCUGUGAAUAGCAGCAGAGCUGACGGUACCUGUAGAAUAAGCCACGGCCAACUCCGUGCCAGCAGCCGCGGUAAUACGGAGGUGGCUAGCGUUACUCGGAAUCAUUGGGUGUAAAGGGCAAGUAGGCGGCCUGGUAAGUGAGGGGUGAAAUCUUCCGGCUCAAUCGGAAAACUGCCUUUCAUACUGCCAGGCUUGAGGGUGGAAGAGGAAAGCGGAAUUCUCGGUGUAAGGGUGAAAUCUGUAGAGAUCGAGAAGAACACCAGCGGCGAAGGCGGCUUUCUGGUCCACUCCUGACGCUGAAUUGCGAAAGCUAGGGGAGCAAACAGAAUUAGAUACUCUGGUAGUCCUAGCCGUAAACGAUGAGCACUAGGUGUCGGUCCCGUUAGGGGUCGGCGCCGUCGCUAACGCAUUAAGUGCUCCACCUGGGGACUACGGCCGCAAGGCUAAAACUCAAAGGAAUUGACGGGGGCCCGCACAAGCGGUGGAACAUGUGGUUCAAUUCGAUGCUACGCGAAAAACCUCACCAGGGUUUGACAUACAGGAAGUAGUGAACUGAAAGGGGACCGACCCUUCGGGGAGCCUGCACAGGUGCUGCAUGGCUGUCGUCAGCUCGUGUCGUGAG